rnacentral:lncRNA from 1 species
CAUCUCAAAAAAGCACCAGGGAACCUGAAGGACCAAAGAGCAUUGUGGAAGGGACUGUCGAAAUUUAUUUAGCAUACCUCAGUGAGUGGACCCUUGGAGAGAAUUUGAGGCUAUAAUGAUCAGUUUGAAGCAUGCUUUCACUCCCACAGCAUACUGAAGCACCUGCCCCCUUACUUCAUGUUUGCAGCGAAGAACUUUCAAACUUCACUUCUGCUUCUUUCUUUUUAGUUUCACACCUAAGUGAACUGAGAAAAUGCCCUCUGCUUCCUUCUGUGGUGUCAGGAAGAAAUUCAAACCGUACAUGCCCUUCUCCAAAAGCAUCUACCCCACUUAUUGUCUUGUGUAGCCACAAUGGGGAGGGGAAAAAUAAGGGAGAAAGUGGGAAGACUGGCUUCAGUGAAAAGAAAUGAAGUACCAUGCAGAAGCUAUUAAGUUUCUUACCCAAAGUAUUUUAAAUAUCAUCAUCAAGAGUGGCAUCUGUUGAUUAGAUUGUUUCUUACGGUUUAG